GAUGAAGAACGUAGCGAAAUGCGAUAAGUAAUGUGAAUUGCAGAAUUCAGUGAAUCAUCGAAUCUUUGAACGCACAUUGCGCCCGCCAGUAUUCUGGCGGGCAUGCCUGUCUGAGCGUCAUUUCAACCCUCAUGCCCCUAGGGCGUGGUGUUGGGGAUCGGCCAAAGCCCGCGAGGGACGGCCGGCCCCUAAAUCUAGUGGCGGACCCGUCGUGGCCUCCUCUGCGAAGUAGUGAUAUUCCGCAUCGGAGAGCGACGAGCCCCUGCCGUUAAACCCCCAACUUUCCAAGGUUGACCUCAGAUCAGGUAGGAAUACCCGCUGAACUUAAGCAUAUCAAUAAGCGGGGGA
rnacentral:misc_RNA from 1 species